CAACGCUGUGGAAGGCGUAAAGUUAAAUUAAAAACACGCGUUACACUCUUAUAAGCACGCGUUACACUAUGCUCCGUCUCCAUUUCUCUUUCCGUCUCUAUCAUUCUCUCUCUAUCGUUUUCUCUGUCCGUCCUAGAUCUAGGGUUUUCUCUCUCUCUCCUUGUGCUCCUUGAGAGAUUCAUCAGAGAAAGAUGGACAGAUUGAGUUGCACGAAUGCGAGGUUACGAGACCGAGGAGUGAAAAAGGAUCGAGAUCAUGGAUCGGGAUCGAGACAGGGAUCGGGACUGAGACUUGUCGAAUCGAAGCAAGAGGAGAAGACGAGAUCAUGAAUAUUGGGUUUCUGGUAAUCGAGUUGUUAUGGUAGCGAAGGGAUUCUAAUUUAUGGAUCAAAGGGCAAAGCUCCUCCUAAGAUGCGGACAUUCUUUUUGUUACAACUGCGGAUCUCCUCUAAUAGCCCACUACUGUAGUAAAUAGUUGGUGCUUCCGAAGCUGUUUGAAGAUGUUUCAAGAACCAGGUGUCCGUAACUACCUCUGCCGCCAAUGCAGUACCACUUUUGCAUUCACCGACCAGUUAGUUUCCAAUGACAUAGUGAUGGAAGCAGCCAUCUUAACAAAUGUAUAUGGCAGUGUCGUGGCCAUAGGACUCAAUGUUCACACAAGGCUGGCAUUUUGUCUAGAGAUGUUAUCUGAAAAUUGAUGACACAAGUACAGAAACCAUGGACAUAUAUGAUGCAGCAGAGUGCUUGCAUAAAAAAGCUUUUAUGAUCUUGAGAAUGACAAAGAAUGGAAGGAUGAUUCCGGUAUAUAUCAUCAUUUUGCUGAAGAGGAUUGGAUGACUAGAAGAUGAAGUUAUUUUCAAAGUUUGGAGGGCACACUCCAUAUUUUUUUAUUAUUAUUAAAAUGUAAAAGUAUUAGUAAUUUUUAUUUUUAUUUUUAUUUUUUUGUAUUGAUUUAACAUACUGUGUUUUAAGGGUUUUUUUUAUUUAUUUAUAAGUUGUGGAAAAUUGAAAAAUGGAUAUUGACUCA